GAUGAAGAACGUAGCGAAAUGCGAUACGUAAUGUGAAUUGCAGAAUUCAGUGAAUCAUCGAAUCUUUGAACGCAUAUUGCGCUCUCUGGUAUUCCGGAGAGCAUGCUUGUUUGAGUAUCAGUAAACACCUCAACUUCCAUAUCUUUUUUGAAAUGGGAGUUGGACUUGAGUGAUCCCAACGCUUUUCCUCACCGAAAAGUGGCGGGUUACUUGAAAUGCAGGUGCAGCUGGACUUUACUCUGAGCUAUAAGCAUAUCUAUUUAGUCUGCCUAAAAAACAGAUUAUUACCUUUGCUGCAGCUAACAUAAAGGAGAUUAGUUCUUGUGCUGACUGAUGCAGGAUUCACAAAGACAGGCUUCGGCCGACUUUGUAAACUCGAUCUCAAAUCAAGUAAGACUACCCGCUGAACUUAAGCAUAACAAUAAGCGGAGGA
rnacentral:misc_RNA from 1 species